rnacentral:rRNA from 1 species
AGCAGUCGCCACGGGAAUACGUAGGUGGCUAGCGUUGUCCGGAAUUAUUGGGCGUAAAGGGCUCGCAGGCGGUUUCUUAAGUCUGAUGUGAAAGCCCCCGGCUCAACCGGGGAGGGUCAUUGGAAACUGGGAAACUUGAGUGCAGAAGAGGAGAGUGGAAUUCCACGUGUAGCGGUGAAAUGCGUAGAGAUGUGGAGGAACACCAGUGGCGAAGGCGACUCCCUGGUCUGUAACUGACGCUGAGGAGCGAAAGCGUGGGGAGCGAACAGGAUUAGAGACCCCUGUAGUCCCUGUCUCUUAUAC